rnacentral:lncRNA from 1 species
GAGCUUUUGCCAUCUGGCCGCCCGGCGAGCAAAACAAACUAGCGAAUGGAGUUUGGCCAAGUCUCCGUUCUGAAAAGGCCAGUAGAAAAAUGGCCCGGUUCCUUUUCCUUUGGAUGGAAGGGGAAAAAGAGUUACGGACGGGUGCAGACCACGGCCAUUGCUUGAGGAUGAGUUCAUGUUCAUGAGCAGAGCUGUUGCACACCGCGCUCCGCUUCAGUUGGCCAGGAACUGGAUCGUCGUGCCUCCCUCCAUAUCCCAGCUACAUACACAGGUACUUUUUGUUCGAAAUUACUACUCCGAAUUGGAUUACAGUUUUUCUUCUUCUCGCCUCGGCGAGCCGCCGCCCGACUAAUAAAUCCUCCUCCGCCAUACCUCCAUUGUCAAUGCCAAGAAACAAUUGAGCACACUCUAGGAUAGGCCACACUCUUCUCAAUGUUAGUUCUCAGCCUGGACAGCAGCAAAAUCUUCCGGCCAAGGAUUAUCUGUAUCUAAGAAGUAAAAAUUAGACUGUUUAACUUUGCAAACAACCAAAAACUUACAACUCAGAAAACACGGUCUUCAUAUUUGCACAAGGCAUGCACGUGAAUUCAGUGCCAGAAAUCCAAAGGCGAGAAACAAUUUAUUGCAUAAUUCGAAUCUAGACAUGCAGACAGUCAAACAAAAGAUGAAAGGGCCUUCUAGUAUUAAUAUAUUUUUCUGUCAUUUAUAUAUUAAGAUUGCAAGCUCAACAAAAAUUUUCACAGCAUUUCAUCUAUAAGAUUAUAGCAGCUUGAUAUUUACAAAGCAUUAUUAAAAUUCUUCAGCCAUGCUAAAAUUUUCAGGUAUAUUUCGACAACAUAGAAAUGAAGAGUACACAGGAAGUGUCGCCUACAACUUUUAGAGUUGAAUUGAAUGGCCAUUAGUUUGCUCACUAUUUUUUCCCUCUUUUCCUGUAGUGCUGUGCAGCAGAAUCUUCUGGGCAAGUCCAGUUUCAGACAAGUAACAUGGCUUUCCUGCCACUGCUAGUUGUUGCAGUCAUGUUGCACUUAGCCUCUACAUCAGCGCAGUCUGGCCCCGGAUGCAAAACACAGUGUGGUGAUGUCGACAUCCCUUAUCCGUUUGGUAUUGGUAUUGGUACUGGCUGUGCUAUUAGAGACUUUGAGAUCAUCUGCAGGAGGACUGCUAAUGGAAUCUACAAGCCAUUCUUGUUCGUUCGGAAUGUGGAGGUUCUAAGCAUCUCAGUGCCCUUCGGUCAAGUCCGAGUUUUAUCCGACAUCUCGACAUACUGCUACAAUACAAGUACAAGAUCAAUGGUACAGAAAGCUUGGUCCCUUGACUUCUCACGAAGCCCGUACCGCUUCUCCUAUCUACACAACAAGCUCAUAGUUAUUGGAUGCAACACGCUCGCAUACAUCAACAACUUGGGAAGCACUGCAAAGUAUACGACAGCGUGCGCAGCAGUGUGUGAGAGCCCGGCAGCACUGACAAACGGUUCUUGUAUUGGUGCAGGCUGCUGCCAAAAUGAUAUACCAAAGGGUCUAAGGGGCUAUAUGUUCACUUUUUAUGAUGUUUACAAUAAUUCCAACAGUACGCUUUUCAACCCAUGUAGCUAUGCCGCCAUGGUGGAGACAGAGACAUUUAGUUUCAGCUCGGACUUCAUAACCACUACAAGGUUCAACGAUACUGACGAUGGGCGGAAGCCACUGGUGCUGGACUGGGUGGUCGGAAAUGCAACUUGUGAAGUGGCCAGAGACAUGCCUUCUUACGCGUGCCAUAGCAGGAACAGCAUGUGUGUGAACUCGACUAACGGCCAAGGGUAUCUAUGCAACUGCACCGACGGAUAUGAAGGGAACCCUUACCUCUUUGACGGAUGCAGAGGCAAGUUCAUUUCUUUACUUGAUCCCUGUUCAUCUUUAGAUCAUGUGCAAUCGUUUUAUGAGGAGUAGUAGUUAAGGGAAAUACCAUUACUAGCUGUCUGUCCCGAUUUUGAUGCCUGGAAAUACUUGAGUUUUACAAUCUGUUUUGCCUUUUUUUUCAUCUAUAGUUUAGAUUUAGUUAGGACAUUUACCUCAUUUUUUCUCUCUACAAUAUAAUUUAUCUUUACUUUGGGAAGAAUGGCAAACGUUACACUCAUUAUGCCAUUUGAAAUUUGUAUUUGUCAAUACACAUAUGCCGAUUUUUCCAUGCAUUACUAUUCAAUCAAUCACUUGACCCCAAAUAAUUUGGUUCUUUGUUGCUGCAGAUGUCAAUGAAUGUCAGAAGAAUUCAAGUAUAUGCCCGAAGUCUGCAACAUGCCACAACGCUAUAGGAGGGUAUUAUUGUUCAUGUUCUCCAGGCAGAAAGUUUAUAAUGGAAACAAAAUCUUGUAACCCAGACAUCACCCUAAUCAUAGGUAAACCACUAGAUGUUUUUAGCAUUUGCUUUCUUGUGUAGAAAACAAUGGCCAACAGUACGUAUAAGAUAUUAAUGACAUUUAGCAAAAGAGGCCCAAAUAGUAGAACUACCACUGCCCAGGCAAGCACAUAGUGAUGUGUCUCCUUCUGUUGGGCAUGCAACAAGUCUAUCCGAGGAAGCUUUAAAAUAAAUAAAUGAAAUGAGGAAAAUUGACAAAAACUCAAAAAGUAAGUCCAGAAACAAGCAUCCAUGAUUUUUUUUAGAAGGUAUAAUUAUAUUGCAUCACGACCGUUUAGUCCACUUUACCACAGCAAUUUUUUUCUAUGCUUUUUAGUAUGUACAUUGUGGGAUCAAUUUGACUAACAGAAACACCUUUCAUGUUGAUUUCUACAGGCAUUAGCAUUGGCGUUGUCAUUCUAGUGAUUAUCAUCUUCUGCAUACGUGUAAUAUUUGAGAAAAGAAAGCUUGCGAAUGUCAAAAAACAGUAUUUUCAGCAGCACGGAGGGAUGCUAUUGUUUGAGAAGAUGAAAUUAGAUCAGGGACUUUCAUUUACAGUGUUUACUGAAGCAGAACUGAAACAAGCAACAAAUAAAUUUGACGAAAGCCAGAUUCUUGGACAUGGAGGCAAUGGCACUGUGUACAAGGGAAUAAUUAAGGAUAUCACUGAAGUGGCAAUUAAAAGGAGUGCAUUGGUUGAUGAUAGGCAGAAGAAGGAAUUUGGCAAAGAAAUGUUGAUUCUUUCCCAGAUCAAUCACAAGAACAUUGUCAAGCUAUUGGGAUGUUGCCUUGAGGUGGAAGUCCCCAUGCUAGUAUAUGAGUUCAUCCCAAAAGGAACAUUGUUUGAUCUUAUUCACGGCAAGAACAGUGAACCGCAUCUCCCUUUCAGUUCUCUUCUAAGGAUCGUCAACGAGGCAGCUGAGGGGCUUGCAUUUUUACAUUCCUACGCAAACCCACCAAUUCUACAUGGUGAUGUGAAAACCUCUAACAUCCUUCUUGAUGAGAAUUACAUGGCAAAGGUGUCUGAUUUUGGGGCAUCUAUAAUAGCACCAACUGACAAAGCCCAAUUCGUCACAAUGGUUCAAGGGACAUGUGGUUAUCUGGACCCUGAGUAUAUGCAGACAUGUUGCUUGACAGACAAAAGCGAUGUUUAUAGCUUCGGUGUUGUUCUUCUAGAGAUCCUAACAGGGGAGGAGCCACUGAAACUUGAGGGUCCUGAGGUAUGCCGGAGCCUGUCGUCGAGUUUCCUGCUGGCUAUGAAGGGGAACAAUCUUGAUAAUAUGCUCGACAAUCAAAUAAAAGGUCAUGAGAAUAUGGAGUUGAUUGUAGGGGUAGCAGAUCUAGCUAGGCAAUGCUUGGAAAUGUGCAGUGACAAUAGGCCCUCGAUGAAAGAGGUAUCUGAGGAGCUUAGCAGAUUAAGGAAGUUUUCGAGGCAUCCUUGGAUACAGAGCGAUACUGAGACAGAUAGCUUUCUCGGUCUGAUUGAAACAGAACAAAGCUCUGAGUGCACAGAGAAGGAUGAAAGAAUGCCCAUAAAUCCAGGCAGUUUUUACCUUAUGAGGUGAACGAAAACACAGCGAAUUUUAUGCUUUGGCACUUUCAUUGUUCAUUUAACCUUCUCCUCGUUUAGUUGUAUGUUGCAUUUUAGUGUAAGACUCUCUUGGACCCUUGGGUAUUACAUAGAGACACCAUAAUUUAGCAAGAAUAAAUGUACCAUGGUACAAAAUGGGGACACAUCCAGUGCUACCUAUUUGAACUUGUGCGAGCUUUCAUAAAAGUUUCCAAAAUCACUCAAAGAAGAUCAAUGGACGACUGGGUGUGAAAAUGUGAUUGAGUUUGGUAUUGAAACUGUGCUAUUAUGUCAAGUGAUUUACUUUUCCUUUUUCAGGGAAGUUUACUGAUUUACUCGGUCAUGUGGGCUGGGCUCACUCGCUUGGUUGGAUGUUCCAAUACAAGGAAAUGUCAUCUUGACUUCGUCAGGGUCUCUGCACUUGCCAUGCCGCCGUUAUAUUCCAUUUUUUUUCAUGAGAAUACAUACAUCACUUGCUAGAUUCUUUUAUUUUCGCCGUUAUAUUCCAGGAUAUGAUGUGUUCUAGGUCCCUAAACUACAUUUGGCUUCUAAACACAUAAUAAGAUAAGAAAUAGAUAGAAUAACAAAAUGCAGAGACAUACUUCAGUUGUGCCAUAAGUCUAACACACACACCCUUGCUUGUUUGACGAGGCAGGGAGCUUAUUUGCGUCACCAUACUGCCGCCGGCCGGCCGGCCGGGGAUAUAUCUUGUGAUAAGGAUGAUGCCGUGUCCUGAUAGAUAUCCUGAUGAACAAAAGAAGUAGAACGAUGUAACAAAUUAAAGUUGAGCAACCUGAGUAUGACCGCAGGGAUCCAAUUGGACGGAAUUGGAAGAAGGGGAAUGAUAGACCGGAUGACGUCGGCGGCUUCCUGGCCGCAGGGCAGGGAGGGAAGGGAGUCCGCCGAGACCGUCGGCCGUGGCUGGGGCUGCUCCGGCCCACCCAUCUGCGUGCGCCUGGAGAAAGGCAUCGGCGUUGUAGGCAGGCGGCGGAGGAGGCCGUUCCCACGGGGGAUGCCGGCGGGAGGAGGUCCGGGUGGUUGAGGAGGAGGUGGCCGGAGCAGGCGGACGGC